GUAAAGGUGUACCCAUAUGAAAUGCUCACUGUCACCAACAGAGGGCGUACUAAGCUCCCGAAGGAUGUGGACAGGACGAGACUGGAGCGCCACUUGGCUCCCGAGACAUUCUUUGACAUUUUUGGGAUGGAGAUCCACGAGUUUGACAGACUUCCUCUUUGGAAGCGCAACGACAUGAAGAAGAAAGCGAAGCUCUUCUAGCUAACAGAUUGUGCAUGUUUUAAUUUAUCAGUCACUCUUCAUAUGAUGUAUUAGAGCUAUAGUCCUCUGAUUUACUUUUCUUUAUUAUUAUUAUUAUUAUUGUUUGCAUCCAAUAACAAGCACAAAAUAGUUUUAUUUUGCUUCAAAAAGACCACUUUUUAUUUUCCCAAAUAGAUAUCUUUAUCUUUAAAUGAGUGAGUGUUUGAAUAUGAACAAAAUGCGGUGCGCGUGACCCCUAGAUGCGAACGCAGGAGCGAGGGGAGCUGAUUGUGUGCCUGCGCUCAUUAAACCUACUUCCAGGACCAGAGAGAUUUAUCCUCCCCCCUCCUGGCCCUCUUGUAAAACAGGACUAUAAUUUUUUAGAUGGGGAACCGGGGCUGUCAGCAGGGCUCGCCAUCUAAACAGGCCGUUAAGGUGGUGGAGUUGUUGGGAUCCCUGGAGCCCCCCUGCUGCUGCGGACCUAACGAGACCUUUGAAGUGCGUUAAAAGCGGGAAGUGAGAGCUACUGAAGAUUCUCCACCUGUGGAGCCGAGGUUCUGGAAAGCAUUAGAAACUGAAAUCCGCGUCCUCUCCCACCAGCACUCUGCCGCCUCGUCACAACCCUUAAAAAGAAAAACAUCCUACAUGUAAAGUAGCAAGCAUGUUCUCACCUUAGCCAAAGCCCAAAACAGCACCCGAGAUAGACAAGGUCUUUAUGAAAAAUAUUUUUGUCUGAUAGUAAGAAGAGGCGGUGGUGUUUAUUAUUAAUAUUAUUAUUAUUACUUAUCAAAUUAAACUUCAAUUCCUUUUUUUUUUAAAUGAUUGAAUGAUUAAAUUUCACCACUAGAGGUCAGGCGUGGGAAGAUAACACAUCGGCCCGCUCUGAAACGGCCUCUUCUGAAUCAGACAAUCCAUUUAUUUUGACUUCCGAUUUUUCUGCAAUAUUUAACAGCAUUUUAUUUUAAAUAAAGCAGGAAAAGCCUUUGAAAUGACUGCCUCGGAGGUGUUUCAAUACUGCCACUGUGUUGACUUGGGAUUGUCGGAGCUGUAGCCAUAGUAUUUGUGCCAGGUGUAUACUCGAUAUCAGGGCCGUAUCUCUGUCGUUACUGCUGACGAAUAAUGCUGUUCCCAUAGACACUGUCUCGGCUUACAGAUGUAUAAUGGGCCGCCGUCGGCUAUUAUUCCCAGCAGUUUCCUGUGUUACUAGCAGGAUUAAUGACAGAGACCUAGGACAUAUUACAGCAUUGUGCUUUUAUAGUAGGCCUAUCUACCACAAAACAUAAGACUAUAACAUGUGUGAUUACUAGAAACAGACCUGUAUGUCACUUUAAAACAGAAUGAAGAGUUGGUUUUGAUACCCCCUACUGUGUACCUCACCCUUUUUCUGUCUUUUUUGAGGGAAAGAUUUGAUGAAAAUGGUGUAAGCUCUGCUGAGUAAUAAAACUCUGCUUCAGA